rnacentral:rRNA from 1 species
CAACCGUGCGAAGGUAGCGAAAUCACUUGUCUCCUAAAUAGAGACCUGUAUGAAAGGCCCAAUGAGAAAGAAACUGUCUCUUGAAGUUAGCCAAUGAAACUGAUCUGCCCGUGCAAAAGCAGGCAUAACAAAACAAGACAAAAAGACCCUGUGAAACUUAAAAUAAACGCCAAUAACAUGUCGAUAUUUUUAGGUUGGGGCAACCAAAGAGAAACAAAACCUCUAAAACACAUUAGACUAACAAGUCUAACCAAACCAAUAUGACCCAGUAAAACUGAUUAAUGAACCAAGCUACUCCAGGGAUAACAGCGCCAAAUUCUUGAAGAGUCCGCAUCAACAAGAAUCCCUACGACCUCGAUGUUGGAUCAGGAUA